rnacentral:rRNA from 1 species
GGCGGCGUGGGAUAGACAUGCAGUUGAACGGGAUUAUUUUUGUAGCAAUACAGAAAUAAUUCAGUGGCGAACGGGUGCGUAACACGUGGGCAAUCUGCCGAAAAGUGGGGGAUAGCUCGCCGAAAGGCGAAUUAAUACCGCAUGUGGUGAGGGACGACAUCUUCCUGAAUCCAAAGCCGGGGCAACCUGGCGCUUUUUGAGGAGCCCGCGGCCUAUCAGCUAGUUGGUGAGGUAACGGCCCACCAAGGCUAUGACGGGUAGCUGGUCUGAGAGGACGACCAGUCACACUGGAACUGAGACACGGUCCAGACACCUACGGGUGGCAGCAGUCGAGAAUUUUUCUCAAUGGGGGCAACCCUGAAGGAGCGAACGCCGCGUGGAGGAUGAAGGCUUUCGGGUUGUAAACUCCUGUCAUUUGAGAACAAGUGCCAACAAGUAACUACUGUGUGGCUUGAUAGUAUCAGAAGAGGAAGGGACGGUUAAACUCUGUGCCAGCAGCCGGGGUAAUCACAGAGGUCCCAAGCGUCGUUCCGGAUUCAUUGGGCGUAAAGGGUGCGUAGGUGGCGCCGUAAGUCGGGUGUGAAAUUUCGGAGCUUAAAUUCCGGAAAUGAUUCGAUACUGGGUGCUUGAGGACUGGGGAGGAGACUGGAAUUUCCAUGGUGUACAGUGAAAAUGCGGUAGA